GACGAACGCUGGCGGCGUGCUUAACACAUGCAAGUCGAACGGAAAGGCCCUGCUUUUGUGGGGUGCUCGAGUGGCGAACGGGUGAGUAACACGUGAGUAACCUGCCCUUGACUUUGGGAUAACUUCAGGAAACUGGGGCUAAUACCGGAUAGGAGCUCCUGCUGCAUGGUGGGGGUUGGAAAGUUUCGGCGGUUGGGGAUGGACUCGCGGCUUAUCAGCUUGUUGGUGGGGUAGUGGCUUACCAAGGCUUUGAAGGGUAGCCGGCCUGAGCGGGUGACCGGCCACAUUGGAACUGAGAUACGGCCCAGACUCCUACGGGAGGCAGAAGUGGGGAAUAUUGCACAAUGGGCGGAAGCCUGAUGCAGCAACGCCGCGUGCGGGAUGACGGCCUUCGGGUUGUAAACCGCUUUCGCCUGUGACGAAGCGUGAGUGACGGUAAUGGGUAAAGAAGCACCGGCUAACUACGUG
rnacentral:rRNA from 1 species